rnacentral:rRNA from 1 species
CAACGUGCCAGCAGCCGCGGUAAUACGUAGGGUGCGAGCGUUAAUCGGAAUUACUGGGCGUAAAGCGAGCGCAGACGGUUACUUAAGCAGGAUGUGAAAUCCCCGGGCUCAACCUGGGAACUGCGUUCUGAACUGGGUGACUAGAGUGUGUCAGAGGGAGGUAGAAUUCCACGUGUAGCAGUGAAAUGCGUAGAGAUGUGGAGGAAUACCGAUGGCGAAGGCAGCCUCCUGGGAUAACACUGACGUUCAUGCUCGAAAGCGUGGGUAGCAAACAGGAUUAGAUACCCUGGUAGUCCACGCCCUAAACGAUGUCAAUUAGCUGUUGGGCAACUUGAUUGCUUAGUAGCGUAGCUAACGCGUGAAAUUGACCGCCUGGGGAGUACGGUCGCAAGAUUAAAACUCAAAGGAAUUGACGGGGACCCGCACAAGCGGUGGAUGAUGUGGAUUAAUUCGAUGCAACGCGAAGAACCUUACCUGGUCUUGACAU